rnacentral:rRNA from 1 species
AAUCAACGCUGGCGGCGUGCCUAACACAUGCAAGUCGCACGAGAAAGGGGAGCAAUCCCUGAGUAAAGUGGCGCACGGGUGAGUAACACGUGAAUUAAUCUACCUCCGAGUGGGGAAGUAACUGAGAGAAAUACUUAGCUAAUAACCGCAUAACACUUACGAGUCAAAGACAGCAAUGCGCUUGGAGAGGAGUUCGCGGCAGAUUAGUUAGUUGGCGGGGUAAGU